CUUUAUGUGACAUUCCAAAAUUGUUCACGCACUUUGAAAAAUGCACUCCUCUGUAAAAAAACCGGCCCCUCGGCGCAAAAAAAGAAAAGAAAAGAGAAAAAAGAAAAACCGGUCCCAAAAAUAACACACAUGCUGCAAGAUGAUAAGCUUAUUUAGAAGUACUACUAGAACUCGGCUGCCAAGAAAAAGAAAAUAGGACCCGAUGUAAUUAAACUCAUCGGUGAAGAACUAGUCCCACAUAGCGCGCGGCACCAUAUCAAACGACCUGCAUCACUUUCGCGGACGAAAAGAGAACCUCCUGUCACUAGUCUCUGCCAGGGUGAGAUGGUGGAUGCGGCACGGGGAGGGGGGCUGCCCACCCAACGUGGCCUUGCACCAUAGCCAGUGCCAUCCUGUUUGCCCGAUCGUCCUGUCAUCACCGAACUGUUAGGAAUUAAUUAAUUAGGUUAAUUAACUAUUAAUCACUGCUAUGUCGGUGCCACUUUUGGCAACUGCCUCCUUUUGUAACCGCCUUGUAAACUGGGUAUAAAUACCCCAAUCUUCAAUCAAUAGAAUAACUGUUCAUUCAU